rnacentral:piRNA from 1 species
AAUUAAACAGUAGUCGUGGUAGGAGG